rnacentral:rRNA from 1 species
AUACGGAGGGUGCAAGCGUUGUUCGGAAUCAUAGGGCGUAAAGAGCGCGUAGGCGGCUUGGUAAGUCGGGUGUGAAAUCCCGGGGCCCAACCCCGGAACUGCAUUCGAAACUGCCUCGCUAGAGUCUCGGAGAGGAAGGCGGAAUUCCCGGUGUAGAGGUGAAAUUCGUAGAUAUCGGGAGGAACACCAGCGGCGAAGGCGGCCUUCUGGACGAUGACUGACGCUGAGGUGCGAAAGCGUGGGGAGCAAACAGGAUUAGAAACCCCAGUAGUCC